CAAAUUUUGCAGUUCAUAACAAAAUAUUGCUUAAGCAUCAUGAUAAUAAUUGGAUGUAAUGAAUUAUGCAAAUAUUCCUCCUCCUACUCCUUGUUAUUUGAGUAUAAAGAUGAAAAGAAGCGGCUUGUUCUCACACGUCUCAAACCAUGAUCUCCUCGUCUCUCUGGUUGUUGCUGCUGCUGGCAGCUGUUUCUCGUGUCCACUGUGUUGAACUGACCCAGACUGAAUCUAUGGUCUUAAGUCCUGGUCAGGUUUUGACACUGUCCUGUAAAAUCUCUGGAUAUUCAGUGACUGACAGCAGCUACUGCACUGGCUUCAUUCGGCAGCCUGCAGGAAAAGCUCUGGAAUGGGUUGGAGAGAUAUGUGGUGAUGGUAGCACAUAUUACAGUGAUAAACUGAAAAGUAGAUUUCAAGUUACCAGAGAGUCUUCCAGCAGCACAGUGACUCUUCAAGGACAGAAUAUGCAGACUGAGGACACAGCUGUGUAUUACUGCGCCAGACAGUCACAGUGACACAGAGCAGCUACUGCCUUGUUCAAAAACCACACUAACACUCGGCACACAAAUACACAGCUUUGCACUAAAAUCUUGGCACAUUUCAUAAGACCUCAGACCUCAGUUAUAUAACAAAAAGGCAUUGCUCCUCAGACUAAAAGGUUUUCAGAAAAAAACAAAAAAAAACAAUGUCAAGUGUCAGGUCUUGUACGGUUAAGCAUUGGGUGAAACAGCCUCAGACAAAAGGCAUCUUUGAUGUCUUUGGUUGCUGUAAUAUAAUUCCGGUCAAAAAAAAUGGAUACCACAUAAUAGAUAUAAUUGCUGAUAAGGUCAUGAUUGAAUUGUUUAUUUGUUGAUCCAUUCUCAUUCUCAUUCUAUGUCUUACCAAAGUAAUUUAUUAUCAAGACUAAUAAAAACAUUCAAAAUUAGAU